UAUAUCUGUACCCAUGUGGUCGUUGUGCUUCAACGAAUAGCGGAGUAUUUCGCCUUAUGCGGGAUAAAACGACAUACAGCCACGACCCUGGUGCAUGUGGUACUAUUGGAUCAGUCCAUACUGUGAACAAUAACACAUGAUGAAAGAAAUAUCGGACGUUUAGCCAGUUCAUCCCCGCAUGGAGCGAUGUCACAGUGCUUUAUGUUGCUAAUAAUUCCAUCUACCAACAGCAUCGUUCAUUAAUGGAACAAUAAAGAGGAAGAGCUGAAAGGAAAUUAGGAGACAAUUAAUUUCAGAUCGAUCCAAAAUGUGGACAAUACGGAAAAGAGAGAUGCUGAUGGUGACACUGUUGAUCGGCUGGGGUUUGUUCCUCUUUCUGUACUUGUGCAACCUUAGCUGGGGUCAUUAUGUCAUCACAUUUGACCGAAAAAAUAUGGACGUCAUUAUCCAUCGAGAUAUAUCUCCUGAUGGCAAGAAAUCAGCCGAGUGAAGCCAAGAAGCAACGUUAAAUAACAAUUCAUGAAGCAAUCACAUGGACGAUCUUCUGUAUAGGCCUACUGACCGCGUUACAGAAUGCCAGCAACAAACCUACCAUGUGUAUACACCAUAUAUGGACGCUUGCGUUAAAAAAAAGACUUUGUUCCAAGGCUGGCCCUUCCAAGAACUUGUCUGACAAGGAAGCGAAAGGUGCAAAUAUGCAAACAACGCAAAGGUUGAGCUCUACACCAACAGACAAAUGAAAUCAACAAGAAAUUAUCUCAGCAACUGGGUGUUUUCAGUAUACAGUCAAACCUGUCGCAUGUGGUCAGUAAAGGGAAACGAAAAAAGUGGCCACUAAAGACAGAUGGCCGCAUAGGGCAGGUUGACUGUUAUACAUAUCUUUCUUCAUUCCUUUUAUUUACUUUUAAGACUUGAAAAUUUUACUUGAAACCAGAAUGUAGGCCUGCUUGAGUUUACGGUGAGAGUAUUGUGAUGCCGAAACAAGCCAACAGAAAGUUAACUUUGAAACUAUUGUUUUCUGUUUUUGACGUGUGUGAUAGCUCUCUGUAUGCAUGGCAUUGACCGUGCCGGGGAUGGACCCAAACUCCGUCUUACCGCCUCCUGUUCUUUAGGAUCUUAUUCUUCAAAAGACCUAUAGUUUUUGAGUGGACGCGUUUUUAUUAAAAA